rnacentral:lncRNA from 1 species
UGACGGUGAUAGAACGUGGAGUGUUUGGAUGUUGAGAAAACCCUUCCAAUUCGAUCAUUCUCGUCUCCAAAUCUGGCGAUUCUGAUCUUUUUUAUCGCUCUCUGUUGAACGAUUCAUCUACUUUGUUGCGAUCAUUGUGUGAUCGAGUUUUUCACUGAUUGCCGAAUUUCACUUCGGGUUCUGGGUGCUGGCUGUUAAGUACUACCUGCUGUUCAUCGGAGCUGUUUCGGUGGUUCAAUGGAGUCUACAAAAGUCAUCAAGGUUCGAUUUUUGUUACCUGGCUGAUUUUUUUGGUUUUUUGGAAUUAGUUUGUGUUCAAGUUUUUCAUUUUUAGGGUUCCCUCUAUUAAUGAAUGAUUUCUGCGGUUUCUUGUAACGCUAUUGUUGCAGUGGAGUUCGCCGACGCGAUCAAGCUUUGUUUUUGUUUUUUUGUUUUUUUUUCUCCGUGUGAUUUUUCUGAAUAUUGGUGUUAGUUCAUGGUUGAAGUUUAGUCUCUGAUCUGGUUAUCAUAUUUUAUUUUGGGGCUUAUAUCUAUUUAUACACACAGAAUUUAAAAGGUUUUCCAUUUUUUUUUUCUCUUUUAGGGUUAUUUAUUUUGAUAUAAUCUAUGAUCUCCUGUUUUUGUUGAUUUGAGUGCAGUUAAAAUUGGAAUUAGUCCCAAAAAAAUUGAAGGAAAAUAUCAUUUUUCAGAACCGUAGUGAAAUGGAAUUUGAUCUGCCCAACAAAAGAACUGUUUGGCUUACUGGAGUGACCAGACAUUUUGUUUCGCCUAAGAAAUCUUAUUAGUCUGAAUUUUGAUACAUAUUUACACUAUUAUGAACCUAUCAUGAAGUUCAAACUAGGCUUUAAAGGCUAGUUGAAUUCAAUGAAUUCUAAAUUUCCCCACUACCAGCCACAGGUCAAUUCUAUUGUUGAACUUAAAUGGCAAAAAUAAUGGUACAAAGCGUUUACUGAGUGGAAAAGUAUCUUUGAGCUCGUCUUUGGCACGGUAUCUGCCAAAAUUUGCUUAGGAUCAUAUCCUUAUGCAGAGGUUUAGGGUGUGAAUGUGAUGCCUCGAGUUUCAAUUCUAAACUGAUCCUGGGAUGGUUCAAGUUUCAAUACUAAGGGGAUCUGGAUGGUUCCAGUUUCAAUUAAAGGCAGAUUGUCUAUAAAAUUUAUCAACCUCAGUUUUUAUAUGCUUUUUUUCAUUGCUUCCAUAGAGAUAAUUAUGAUAUGAAAUUGUAACACCUGGAUGAAAACCAGUUGUGCUGUGUCAGUCUCUGCCUGUAAAAGUCAUUAGACCUAAGAACACUUUGAUCUAGUAGUUGAGGAUUAAAUUAAACUUUAUCGUAAUUUAAUCCAUUUACAAUAUAUUUGUAUUGCUACAGGUUAAAUAUGGGAACACACUAAGGCGUUUUAAUGCAUGCCUUGACGAAAAUGGAGAACUGGAUCUUGAUAUCAAUGGAUUAAGAGCAAAAGUCAUCACUCUCUUUAAUCUUGUGCCUGAUGCUGAUCUUACACUGACGUAUAUUGAUGAAGAUGGUGACGUGGUAACACUUGUUGAUGAUGAAGAUCUGCAUGAUGUGAUGAGACAGCGCUUGAAGUUCUUGAGGAUUACCGUGCUGCUAAAUAUUGAAAAGGAUGGUAGGUCUCACACUCGGUCAAGUGGAAGUUCUACUCCCAUGAGAUCACCUUUUAACCUGCGCCCAUUUCAAGAUGGCAAUGCUGGUGUUGCUCCCAUGAGAUCACCUUUUGACCUGCGCCCAUUUCAAGAUGGCAAUGCUGGUGUUGCUCCCAUGAGACCACCUUUUGACCUGCGCCCAUUUCAAGAUGGCAAUGCUGGUGUUGCUGAAUUUAUUAAAUCAGUACCAGAGCCACUACUUGAAGCAUUUUCGAAACUAUCAACAGAUUUUACUUCUAAAGCUGCAUCCUCUGCUCCAGUGCUUUCUGAGGUUCUUACCUGCCUCUCAAAGAUGGGAGAAUCCUACCUCAAUUCUGUUUCUCCAUCUGAGGUUGGUGCAGAUUCAAGCACACAUAAUAGGUCAUCUGACAACUCCGUCGAUCCUUUAGUGACUGAAAAUACAAAAGCUCCGCAAGCUGACAGCAAACAAGAACUGCUGCCAACUGCUGAACUCAAAGAUUCAAAUUCUAAACUUAAUGAAGUGGGAACAACUGGACCCGUGUCUAGAGGUGUGGGGACCUCAAUUACUCCAGCUGCAACAUCCAUGGAUCUUAACUUCCCUAGUUUUCCAGAUAUAUCUGAAAUCCCUAGUUUUUUUCCAGAUAUAUCUAAAAUCCCCAUUUUUCCAGUUAUAACUGAAUCUGGAGCUGUGACUAUUACAGCAGGUAUCGCAUCAAAUGUUCCUGCUACUGACAACAAGGAGGCUAAUGUGGAAAGCAAUGUUGCACCAGUUGCAUCCAAUGAUCCCUCUGUGGACAAGAGGAAGGAGACUAAAAAGGAAAGCAAGUAUGCACCCAUUGCAUGUUCUGAUUGUGCCAAUGAUCCCUCUGUGGACAAGAGGAAGGAGACUAAGAAGGAAAGCAAGUAUCCACCCGUUGCAUGUUCUGAUUGUGCUUCUGAUGGAAGGAAAGGAACUAAGAAGGGAAGCGUUGAUCAUUAUGGUGAGAAGUUGGCUGAUUGUGUUGCAUCCACGUGGAAUGCAGGAUAUCCCAGACCCUAUAAUCCAGA